rnacentral:tRNA from 1 species
GUCGAAUGGCUCAGUAGGUAGAGUGUUGGAAUGCAAUUCCAACACUUGCUGGUUCGAAUCGCAGCUAAUGUCA